rnacentral:rRNA from 1 species
CCCGGUGACUUUACCUGGAAGGCCACACCCGUUCCCAUUCCGAACACGGCCGUUAAGCUUCCAGGGCCGAUGGUAGUAGCUACUGCUGCGAGAGUAGGUCAUUGCCGGGU